rnacentral:rRNA from 1 species
GGAAUAUUGGACAAUGGGCGCAAGCCUGAUCCAGCCAUGCCGCGUGAGUGAUGAAGGCCUUAGGGUUGUAAAGCUCUUUCACCGGUGAAGAUAAUGACGGUAACCGGAGAAGAAGCCCCGGCUAACUUCGUGCCAGCAGCCGCGGUAAUACGAAGGGGGCUAGCGUUGUUCGGAAUUACUGGGCGUAAAGCGCACGUAGGCGGAUAUUUAAGUCAGGGGUGAAAUCCCAGAGCUCAACUCUGGAACUGCCUUUGAUACUGGGUAUCUUGAGUAUGGAAGAGGUAAGUGGAAUUCCGAGUGUAGAGGUGAAAUUCGUAGAUAUUCGGAGGAACACCAGUGGCGAAGGCGGCUUACUGGUCCAUUACUGACGCUGAGGUGCGAAAGCGUGGGGAGCAAACAGGAUUAGAUACCCCUG